GAGGAUUUAGCUCAGUGGCAGAGCGCUUGCCUAGCAAGCACAAGGCCCUGGGUUCAGUCCUCA
rnacentral:tRNA from 1 species